GUUAGUGCACUCCUUUGUGCUGGGAAGCUGGUUUGCCUACAGCUGCAUGUCUUUAAAUACCAUUAACUGAAAUUAAUUAGGUAGCUGCUCCUUAAUUCUUUUGACUGUAAUCCUGUAUCACGAGAGCACCAUAUUCAAUCUGGCAGAAGCUGCUCACAGGAGAGGCCCAGACCUAAAUUAGCAUCUAAUCUAAAUUAGCUUUAACCACUUGAAAGUCUGGCUCAUCUAGACUGGGUUAAAGUCAUUAGUGGUGAACUCUGAGAGGGCCGUGCUUCACCUCUGCUGCAAACAUCUCCAGAAAGGGCUUCCUGUUGCCUGGCAUUGUGCAGCCACAGACGGGUCUGAUCAUUGCCCUGAUGGUUCUGUUGGGUAGAUAGAUGAGAAAUACAAAGGCUUGAAAAAAGGGAAAGCAAUGAUUUUCAUCAUACAGAACCUGGAGCAAGAUAAACCUCUGCCAGGGCCUGAGCGGGGUACAGAAAUACAGCGUUGCUUAGGAACUGGAUUCCUCCUGGUUUCCCUUAUUUGUUUGUCCUUGAUAGCACAAAAACUGGAAAAUGUAGAGGUUAAUAUUACCAUGAUCACUGGACCUUGGAAGUUUUCCAUCUGUCUUCAUCACACCUGGCUCCUCACCUGUAACUGUGGCUCUGCUGUGGUUUUUAAUCCCUUGGGAAUAAAUAGCUGGCAGGUAAUGUCCUUUGCAGGUGUGUUCCCAACAGGUAUGGAGGCACCUAAAAGCAGCAGGAGAGCAGCUUGGAAACCAGGAGAAAACACAAAGGAAGAGACAAAGGUAGAAGGACUCAUGCUACAGCCCUUGGAGUGUGUGAAAGUUCCUGUUUUUCCUGAAAGUCAGGUUCUGCUCAAUGAAGAGUUACUUGCUGCAUGGAGCAGCCCUGGAGCUGCCGAGGAUUUGCAGGAAUUGGCAGUGAAGGGAGGAGCUGCCAGGUUUGGGCCAGAGCAGUGCGGUGUGAUGAGAGCUCUGUGGGUGUACAGAGCUGUCUAGGUUAAAAAUUUGGAGGAAUGCCUCGAUUCCUAGCAUGUUGUGAUAAGUUUUGGAAGGUUUUCAAACUCUAAGUGUGGGAUGUUUGAGGGGACAAGAGCUUCACUUGCUGUGGGUGGUGUUUGGAGACCCUUGGCCCCAGAAAGGAGAGUGGGAGACCUCUGUGAACAUGUGUGAAAAGGCAGGUGGGCCUUACCGCUGCUUUAAGGAAGUUCCACCCCUUGGGGUUUGUUUUUUUUUUUUAAUUUCUGCCAGAAGUUUGGUGUUGCUUUAAGUAUGAUAAAUUACAGAGAAAAGCUCAUAUCUGUGAAAAUACUUCCUCUUCUAAAGUGGCUGGAGCCCUGCAGAUCCAGGCCGCUGUGGUACAGCCGGCCCAGCCAGAGGAGCGGCUGGGGAAUGGCAGCUCCCAAGAAAGGGGAGAUUCAUUGGGAGUGACCUUUCAGCCUUCAGAUAUUUCAUAAAUGUGCUCUCCUGAGGUGCUGUUAUUUAACUGCAGGCAUCAGAACGUGUUCUCCUGCUGGCUCUGCAGCUCUUGCCCAUUGACAGGUCAGAGCAAUCGACGCAGCUCCUACCAGGCUGUGGCUUUGGAAAGGUCACGCACGCCCCGGCAAAGCCUGUCCCUUGCAUUUUAAGAACAGUAGGAAUCAAAUCUUAUCAGUAACUGUGACCAACAGAGCUACAGGAGAUACAGUUUAAUAUUCUAUUACAGAUUAGAGCUGCUGGGAAAACGUCUGAAGUAAAACAAGGGAAAAACAAAAAAAUAAAUAAAAAGCUCUUUAAG
ensembl:lncRNA